UCCUGCGCACGGGGCAUACUCCACUUCUUAUUUCCCGUGACGCUAAUAAAGGAGGGAUACCCAUCCGCAAGGCUUGCGGUGCGGCAGUGUGGAGACCUGCUGUAAUGCGACCGUCACAUCAUCGGGCGGUUGCGAGUUGGGCGAUGAGCGAACGCUGCGCCUGAUGAAGCCAAAACACUAUGGCA
rnacentral:ncRNA from 1 species